UGACUCUUAAAAAAGAAAAAGGAAAGAGCAUUUGGUGCUCCAUUGAUAAUCACACAUAGUGCAGUGGUUGUAUAUAUUGGGUGAUUCCUGUGUAUGACUUCCUUUUUUAACAUGCAAGCGUUGUGAAAGGGACACCACAGAGCUAGACUUCUAAAAAUAACUGGACUAAAGUGUGACCCGACAUGCGCCAAGAGGUUCCAAUAUUAGUCGAUCUCUCUACACAGGGACCUUCUUGCAUUCCUACUUCUUAAGGCAGAUUCUCAUCAAGAAAUAAGAGCAGAAGUUAUUUUUUUGUCCGAUGAUAACCAUGCAGACCCCACAAAUAGCUAGACUUCUAAAAAUAACUGUGACUAUGUGACCCGACAUAUGUCACGAGGCCCGAAUAUUGGCCGAUCAAUCCUCUCUGGAUUGGGACCCUGAAGAUGGUGAACUAUGCCUGGUUAGGGCAAAGUCAGAGGAAACUCUGAUGGAGGCUCGUAAAAUACUAACGUGC
rnacentral:rRNA from 14 species